UAGAAAAUAAUAUCAAGGGAAGUAUGGAGAAUUUUCGAUUUCUCUUGUGUGGGUUCAAUUCCUACUUUUCUAA
rnacentral:tRNA from 1 species